AUUGAACGCUGGCGGCAGGCCUAACACAUGCAAGUCGAGCGAGCGGCGGACGGGUGAGUAACACGUGGUAACCUGCCUUAGACAUUGGGAUAGCCUCGGGAAACCGGGAUUAAUACCAAAUGCGGUUAGAUGGACUCGCGUCCCAUUAGCUAGUAGGUGGGGUAAAGGCUCACCUAGGCGACGAUCUCUAGCUGGUCUGAGAGGAUGAUCAGCCACACUGGGACUGAGACACGGCCCAGACUCCUACGGGAGGCAGCAGUGGGGAAUAUUGCACAAUGGGCGCAAGCCUGAUGCAGCCAUGCCGCGUGUAUGAAGAAGGCCUUAGGGUUGUAAAGUACUUUCAGCGGGGAGGCGUUACCCGCAGAAGAAGCACCGGCUAACUCCGUGCCAGCCGCCGCGGUAAUAC
rnacentral:rRNA from 1 species